rnacentral:sRNA from 1 species
AUAUCUCUCUGUACGGGAAGGAUGAGAAGCUUCGACCAAGGUUCGAUUCGAGCGUCAGCGAGAAAGCGUUGCCGCAGGCAACGACCCGAAGGGUGAAGCGCGCAGCGCUGAGUAAUCCUUCCCCCACCACCA